rnacentral:rRNA from 1 species
CGGACCAAGGAGUCUAACAUGUGCGCAAGUCAUUGGGUGAUUAAAACCUAAAGGCAUAACAAAAGUAAAGAAAGCUUUGCUUUAUUAGGGAUGAUGACUAUUUAAUUAAGUUUUUUUUUAAAAAUUUAGUUAUAGUCCGCAAUCCCAGGGCGUCUAUUACUCAUUGCUAGUAAGGGCGCACCAAGAGCGUACACGUUGGGACCCGAAAGAUGGUGAACUAUGCCUGGCCAGGAUGAAGCCAGGGGAAACCCUGGUGGAGGUCCGUAGCGAUUCUGACGUGCAAAUCGAUCGUCAGAGCUGGGUAUAGGGGCGAUAGACUUAUCGAACUAUCUAGUAGCUGGUUCCCUCCGAAGUUUCCCUCAGGAUAGCUGGUAUCAAUGAUGAUAUGAAUCUCAUCUGGUAAAGCGAAUGAUUAGAGGCCUUGGGGCCGAAACGACCUCAACCUAUUCUCAAACUUUAAAUGGAUGAGAGCCUUGGCUUGCUUAAAAAGUGAAGCCAGGGUUUUGGAUCUAGAUACCAAGUGGGCCAAUUUUGGU